AGUGAACGCUGGCGGUAGGCCUAACACAUGCAAGUCGAACGGCAGCACAGUAAGAGCUUGCUCUUACGGGUGGCGAGUGGCGGACGGGUGAGGAAUACAUCGGAAUCUACUUUUUCGUGGGGGAUAACGUAGGGAAACUUACGCUAAUACCGCAUCCGACCUACGGGUGAAAGCAGGGGAUCUUCGCACCUUGCGCGAUUGAAUGAGCCGAUGUCGGAUUAGCUAGUUGGCGGGGUAAAGGCCCACCAAGUCGACGAUCCGUAGCUUGUCUGAGAGGAUGAUCAGCCACACUGGAACGGAGACACGGUCCAGACUCCUACGGGAGGCAGCAGUGGGGAAUAUUGGACAAUGGGCGCAAGCCUGAUCCAGCCAUACCGCGUGGGUGAAGAAGGCCUUCGGGUUGUGAAGCCCUUUUGUUGGGAAAGAAAAGCAGCAGGUUAAUACCCCGCUGUUCUGACGGUACCCAAAGAAUAAGCACCGGCUAACUUCGUG
rnacentral:rRNA from 1 species